GCCUGACUGGCUCCAUCUGUAGAGCAUGUGACUCUUGAUCUCAGGGUUAUGAGUUCAAGCCCCAUGUUGGAUA
rnacentral:tRNA from 1 species